CCAACUUACUGUGCAUUCUGCAAGAUUUGUGCUUAUCAAAUUAAUACAAUGAAUUAACAAACAACUGCGUCUGAAUAAUUUUUAAAAUUUUUUUAGUGACAUAUGUGUUGCUAGAUGUUGGUCUAAUAAAAGGAAAUCCACUCGGUGAGCUUUUGAACUUGAUAACACCAUAUCAAGAUACUAAAUUGAAUGGAUGAUUUUCAGUUUUUUGCAUGGAUGGUUGUGCUACAUUUUACUGAUGAGAUGUAUUCAAAGAAAUCGUAAAAUAUGAGGUGAGGAAGCUCUUGAUUUUACUAACGAGGAAAAAAGGAGAAAGUGAGGAAAUUGAUAAUAUUUUACAUGCAUUGGUUGAUAAUUCUGAUUUACUUUUGUAGUGUGCGUUUGAUAGCUUUAUUAUAGAGUGAUAGAAGCAUUGCAGCCAUUGGAACCUCAACAGAGAGAUAGAGCUUGUAUAAGGCUGAAGAAGGACAAUGUUGCACUUGUUGUUAUAUUAGAAAAACUGGAAAGUGAGACCACUUGCGAUGGAAUUUAACCUAGAAUUUGUGUGGCAAAUACGCACAUAUCUGCAAAUCCAAAGUUCCCAGAUGUAAAAUUGUUCCAGAUGCAGUUUAAAAUUCAAUAGCUC